CGCCAGGCAUCCGGGAGGCGGGACAAGGAAGCAGCCAAACAUAAACAUACACGGAGUUUCCCGGCGCCCAGUCUUGGGCAGCUGCGUGGGAGCCCCAAGCCCGAGCAAAUUCUCGGGGUCAACAGGAGGAGUCAGGGAAGGGGUCGGGCCGGCCGGAAAGCGGGGAGGCGGAACCCUGCGGGCCAGCCGGGACUCCCCGGGAGUACGUAUAGUCGGCCACAUGCUUCGCGUGCGCCUGCGCAGGGCGGGAGCCACCAGCCGGCGGCGCCGCCUGCUUAAGGUACCGACGGGUCUCGACCGGGGCGCCAAGGGGAGGCGGCCGCGGGCGGAGAGCAAGGCCUGUCCACGAGCCUCCCCGGCCUUCUGUGUGAUCAGCGAUGGAAAAGUUGCCAGCCUCGUCUAUCACAUAUGAGAGAAUAGUUUACAAAAAUUCUUUUGAACACCACUACAUGAAAGUCUGUUUGUAAGUUCAGUCUUAAAAGUUCUACUUUAGGUUUUUCUUUUUUUAUGAAUUGGAAGAGCAUGAAAUGGAAUAAUCUGUAUUUUUUGUUUUUAAUGUUUUUUUGCAGAGAAUUUCAAGAGCGUGGGGUUGGAUUGAAUGCAGCACAGUUCAAACAGCUGCUUAUUUCAGCCCUGAAGGACCUGUUUGGGGAGGUAUGGAAUCACCAAGUUCUUCGUAGAUUGAACAUUCUUAAGAUCUUUAUAUAAGAAAUACAGGAAGAAAGCCUUUCAAAACAUGUAUUUGGAAACUAUAAUCUAGUAUUGAAAAUUACAGAAGCAGGCUUUCAGACAUGAUGGACUUUUGGUAGGUAGACUUGGACCAAAGAACUUGUUAGAUGGGUGGCUGUUGCAGUACAGUGCUUCUCAACAGUAUGGUUCAGACUGACCACCUAUAAGCUGUUUUUUUGCCCAUUGCAAAGAGAUAAGGGGCUUCCGCCAGAAAGAAAAUCAGCAUACCUCUUCCUGUGGUGGGAAAAUCUUGUUAUGAAAAAAUGUCAGCUGAGCUACAGUGUGCUUAGUGAUAUUGUUGACUAACAUUCUUGUGCAAGCUCCUUAUCACAGACCAGCACUUUGAGUGGUACUGUUCUAGCAGUCACUUGAAAACAAAUGGAGUUUUGGAAGUCUAGAGAGAGCACAAAAACUGAGUAUUCUCAAGAAAUUAUUUCCAGAUUGAUCUGUCCUGUCAACUCAAAACCUUCUUUUUUUUUUUUUUUUUUUUAAAGAUUUAUUUAAUUCCCCCCCCUCCCCUGGUUGUCUGUUCUUGGUGUCUAUUUGCUGCGUCCUGUUUCUUUGUCCGCUUCUGUUGUCAGCAGCACGGGAAGUGUGGGCGGCGCCAUUCCUGGGCAGGCUGCACUUUCUUUUCACGCUGGGCGGCUUUCCUCACGGGCGCACUCCUUGCGCGUGGGGCUCCCCCACGCGGGGGACACCCUUGCGUGGCACGGCACUCCUUGUGCGCAUCAGCGCUGCGCAUGGCCAGCUCCACACGGGUCAAGGAGGCCCGGGGUUUGAACCGCGGACCUCCCAUAUGGUAGACGGACGCCC
rnacentral:lncRNA from 1 species